AAUUUAGCAGAUUUUUUUUUUGAGGUUUUAGGGAGCUUUGUAAUAUCAUGAUUUCCAUCUUUGUUCUUGCUUAUUUUGAAAUUGAGGUUUCAAAGGAAUUCAGGACUCCCCAUUCAUUGAUAACUCUGUGUGCUGUUCACCACUCUCAGUGUUCUGAUUGGACCAGCAACAAGCGCAAGUUCUUUAGCAUUUUUGUUGUUAAAUAGUGAGGGAAUUGCUUCAGCCAUCAAAUAGAAGACUAAAAGUCUUUGUGAUACAACCAAAGUAUGACCUGGGAUCUGAAAGUUCUGUGCUCUACUAACUGUAGGGAGUAUGAUCAUACUUUAUUGCCUUUUUUUUUCCCUUGCGCUAGACAAAGUGAUACUAUUGCUUUCUUUGCUAAUGACUUGUUCGGCUAUGCUUCUAGGAUCAAUUUUUGGAUCUCUGAAUUGGCUAGAUGAACGCAAUGGUUGUCAGAAAAAAGGUCAUAUUGCCCUGUCAGUCUAUUGAAUUUGAAUUUGUAUCAUCACUCUAUUCUCCUCCCGAAAUUAAAUUGUUUAUUGGUAUGGAAAAAA
rnacentral:misc_RNA from 1 species